CUCCACUCCGGCUCCGUCCACCCAGUGUUCAGACUACCUGUUCAUUGUCAUACUGGUGUACAGUAGUCUGCACAUUGGUUAGACUGUGCACGGACCCUCU
rnacentral:pre_miRNA from 12 species